UGGGGAAUCUUGCGCAAUGGGCGAAAGCCUGACGCAGCAACGCCGCGUGGGGGACGAAGGCUUUCUGAGUUGUAAACCCCUUUCAGCAGGAACGAUAGUGACGGUACCUGCAGAAGAAGCACCGGCCAACUACGUGCCAGCAGCCGCGGUGAUACGUAGGGUGCAAGCGUUGUCCGGAUUUAUUGGGCGUAAAGAGCUCGUAGGCGGUUUGAUAAGUCGGAUGUGAAACCCCCAGGCUUAACCUGGGGCCGCCAUUCGAUACUGUCAUGGCUAGAGUCCGGUAGGGGACCAUGGAAUUCCUGGUGUAGCGGUGAAAUGCGCAGAUAUCAGGAGGAACACCAGUGGCGAAGGCGGUGGUCUGGGCCGGAACUGACGCUGAGGAGCGAAAGCGUGGGGAGCGAACAGGAUUAGAUACCCCCGUAGUCC
rnacentral:rRNA from 1 species